CUGGAGGUAUCAGAAGUGCGAAUGCUGACAUAAGUAACGAUAAAGCGGGUGAAAAGCCCGCUCGCCGGAAGACCAAGGGUUCCUGUCCAACGUUAAUCGGGGCAGGGUGAGUCGACCCCUAAGGCGAGGCCGAAAGGCGUAGUCGAUGGGAAACAGGUUAAUAUUCCUGUACUUGGUGUUACUGCGAAGGGGGGACGGAGAAGGCUAUGUUGGCCGGGCGACGGUUGUCCCGGUUUAAGCGUGUAGGCUGGUUUUCCAGGCAAAUCCGGAAAAUCAAGGCUGAGGCGUGAUGAC
rnacentral:rRNA from 1 species